rnacentral:rRNA from 1 species
CUGCCAGUAGUCAUAUGCUUGUUUCAAGGACUAAGCCAUGCAAGCCUAAGAGUAACUGAGACUAUAGGAGGUCUGCGAACGGCUCAUUAUAUCAGAAAUUAUCUACCGGGAAAAUUGCAGUGAAAACUGCUAAAUGGAUAACUUCGCGAAACGCGAAGCUAAUACAUGUACGCACGUGGUAUUCUCCAUUCAACUGCUAAGGCCAAAAGCCUUGGUAGGGAGGGUAUCUCGCGAAUGGUUGGCACAAAGACCGACGCCAGCGAUGGCAGCGUCCAAAAGCGAUGAAUCAAACCAUUCAGCAGAAGCGUGCUUCGGCACGCGUGUCCCGACGAAUUUCUGCCCUAUCAGCUCUUGACGGUAGUGUAGUGGACUACCGUGGCGAUAACGGGUACGGGGAAUUAGGGUUCGAUUCCGGAGAGGGAGCCUGAGAAAUAGCUACCACUUCUACGGAGGGCAGCAGGCGCGUAAAUUGCCCAAUGCCAAAUUGGUGAGGCAGCGAAGAGAAAUAGCGACUCCGCCUCUCUGAGUGCGGGGAUUGCAAUGGGUGGUAUUUAAAACCACCAACGAGUAACAAUUGGAGGACAAGUCUGGUGCCAGCACCCGCGGUAAUUCCAGCUCCAAUAGCGUAUAUUAACGCUGCUGCUGUUAAAGGGUUCGUAGUUGAAUUCGGAGUUUUCGAGUUUUGGUUCCAUUCCGGUUCCUUUCUUCGAAACUCUGUCAUAGAUGGGGACGGAGUCUGGCCGAGGAGCCUCUUCACUGAUGUUCCAACGCCUCUGGGGGAAAACCCCAGUACUUACGCAUGGAUGCAUGCUUGACCGCCCAUCGUUAUCACUGUGAAGAAAACAGCGUGUUCAAGGCAGCCGCUUGCGGUUGUAUGACAAAGCACGGAAUGACAAAGCAUCGACCAAUUGGUCCGUCUUUUGUCGGUUUUUACGAUCAAUUUGGAUAAUAUGUUGGUAAAUCACUCCAUUAUUUCCUUCGGGUCAUUUUGGAACUUUGCCGAACACGGGAUUAAUGGGGGUUGUCGGGGGAAAACGUAUCUGAGCGUGAGAGGUGAAAUUCUUAGACCGCUCGGGGACGAACUUAUGCGAAGGCAUUUUCCAAGUAUACCUUCAUCAAUCAAGAACUAAAGUGUGGAGAUCGAAGAUGAUUAGAUACCAUUGUAGUCCACUACUGCAAACGAUGACGCCCAUGGAUCGGAUAGUUUUUUGCUUCGAUGGGAUCUUUUCGGCACUGCUCCCCCUUCAACGCGAAAGCUGAGGCUAUGGUCUCAUGGGGGAGUACGUUCGCAAGGCUGAAACUUAAAGAAAUUGACGGAAUGGCACCACCAGGCGUGGAGUGUGCGGUUUAAUUUGACUCAACACGGGGAACCUUACCAGGACAGAACAACGCAAGGAUUGACAGAUUGAUAGUUCUUUCUUAAUUCGUUUGACGGUGGUGCAUGGCCGCUUUUGGUCGGUGAAGUGAUUUGUUUGGUUGAUUCCUUUAACGGACGAGACCCAAUCCGCUUAAUAGGGGCACCAUCUGCCUCACGGCUACGGAAGCACCGGAUUCGUCUUGGUGUUCUCCCAGAUAGUGAUACCCCUUCUUCGCGGCAUUCCGUGCGCCUUAGCACGGUGGCAUUUUGGGCAACAGCAGGUCCGUGAUGCUCCUAAAUGUCCUGGGCCACACGCGCACUACAAUGACAAAGUGAAUGAGUGAAACCUCUUGGUCCUGCUUCGAAAGGAGUGGGAAAACUGAAAAAACUAUGUCGUGCUUGGGAUCGAAGCUUGCAAUUAUUCUUCUUGAACGAGGAAUGCCUAGUAGACGUGCUUCAUCAAAGCACAUUGACUACGUCCCUGCCAUUUGUACACACCGCCCGUCGUUGCUACCGAUGCCAGUUGGAUACAGAUCAACGGACUCCGGCCCUUCGGGGUUUUCGAGGAAGUUGACCCAUGUUUAACUAGUAGAGGAAGCAAAAGUCGUAACAAGGUAGCUGUAGGUGAACCUGCAGAAGGAUC